AACCAUUCUCACCUGCGGCUAGACCUGCGGAAGGAUCAUUACAAGUGACCCCGGUCUAACCACCGGGAUGUUCAUAACCCUUUGUUGUCCGACUCUGUUGCCUCCGGGGCGACCCUGCCUUCGGGCGGGGGCUCCGGGUGGACACUUCAAACUCUUGCGUAACUUUGCAGUCUGAGUAAACUUAAUUAAUAAAUUAAAACUUUUAACAAUGGAUCU
rnacentral:misc_RNA from 1 species